rnacentral:rRNA from 1 species
UACGUAGGGUGCAAGCGUUAUCCGGAAUUAUUGGGCGUAAAGAGCUCGUAGGCGGUUUGUCGCGUCUGCUGUGAAAACCCGAGGCUCAACCUCGGGCCUGCAGUGGGUACGGGCAGACUAGAGUGCGGUAGGGGAGAGUGGAAUUCCUGGUGUAGCGGUGGAAUGCGCAGAUAUCAGGAGGAACACCAAUUGCGAAGGCAGCUCGCUGGGACGUUACUGACGCUGAGACGCGAAAGCGUGGGGAGCAAACAGG